UAGGGAAUCUUCCACAAUGGGCGAAAGCCUGAUGGAGCAACGCCGCGUGUGUGGUGAAGGGUUUCGGCUCGUAAACACUGUUGUAAGAGAAGAAUGACAUUGAGAGUAACUGUUCAAUGUGUGACGGUAUCUUACCAGAAAGGAACGGCUAAAUACGUGUCAG
rnacentral:rRNA from 1 species